GACGAACGCUGGCGGCGUGCUUAACACAUGCAAGUCGAACGGAAAGGCCCUGCUUUUGUGGGGUGCUCGAGUGGCGAACGGGUGAGUAACACGUGAGUAACCUGCCCUUGACUUUGGGAUAACUUCAGGAAACUGGGGCUAAUACCGGAUAGGAGCUCCUGCUGCAUGGUGGGGGUUGGAAAGUUUCGGCGGGUGGGGAUGGACUCGCGGCUUAUCAGCUUGUUGGUGGGGUAGUGGCUUACCAAGGCUUUGACGGGUAGCCGGCCUGAGAGGGUGACCGGCCACCUUGGGACUGAGAUACGGCCCAGACUGCUACGGGAGGCAGCAGUGGGGAAUAUUGCACAAUGGGCGGAAGCCUGAUGCAGAAACGCCGCGUGCGGGAUGACGGCCUUCGGGUUGUAAACAGCUUUAGCCUGUGACGAAGCGUGAGUGACGGUAAUGGGUAAAGAAGCACCGGCUAACUACGUG
rnacentral:rRNA from 1 species